UACGUAGGGACCAAGCGUUGUUCGGAUUUACUGGGCGUAAAGGGCGCGUAGGCGGCUUUGUAAGUCACUUGUGAAAUCUCUGAGCUUAACUCAGAACGGCCAAGUGAUACUGCAAUGCUAGAGUAUUGGAGGGGCAAUCGGAAUUCUUGGUGUAGCGGUGAAAUGCGUAGAUAUCAAGAGGAACACCUGAGGUGAAGACGGGUUGCUGGCCAAAUACUGACGCUGAGGCGCGAAAGCCAGGGGAGCAAACGGG
rnacentral:rRNA from 1 species